CUAGAGAUCAAUAAGUUAAGGAGAGAGACCAAGGAGCUAGGGGGAGGAGAGAAAUGAAACUAGAGACGUCAAAUCAAAUCAAAUUUUAUUUAUUAUUGUAACGGUUUUCUUGAGGUGAAGGAGAGUCGGACCAAAACGCAGCGUGGUUUCUAUUCAUGGCUCUUUAAUAAAGACAACUAUACAUGAAUAAACUAACAAAACAAGAAACGUGAGAAAACCUAAACAGCCUAUCUGGUGACAACAAACACAGAGACAGGAACAAUCACCCACCAAACACUCAAAGAAUAAAUAUGGUUCCCAAUCAGAGACAACGAUAAACACCUGCCUCUGAUUGAGAACCACUCCAGACAGCCAUAGACUAUGCUAGAUUCCCCCACUAAGCCACAGAGAUGUCAUUACAUGCGAUGCAAAUGUCAUUAUAUUCAAACAGUCAUGAAAAAAAGGACAAAUCUAUAUUCUACGAGUGUUACAUAAUAUAUUAGAUCUAAUAAUAACAAGACAAGUACAAACCAGGAGAGGCUCUACAACAGUUUUAAAACAUUGAAGUGGUCCACAUUUUCAUUGAUAUGCCCAAAAUCACUCAAAGUAAAUAUCAUCCCGGUCUUGGUGAAUUUUAAUUGUAAAUAUAGUAACAGCAGUUAAUAAUUAAAGGGGGAAAUAUGAUCAAAUAAAACAUUUAAAUAUAUAUAUAUAUAUAUGUAUAUAUUUUUUUAAAGUUUUUAAAAAGCAAACUAAUUUUUCAAAUAUUUUAUUUAAUUUUUUUAAUUCACUGAUAAAUAGUGUGCAAGUUGCUUUGUACCUGGUGCAAAUUAAUAAUAAUUAAUAAGAAUUCAUUUUAGUCUGUUAUAUGGUUAAGUGUUAAAUAAUAGUCAUUUCAAAGAUAAGGGCCGAGCUUCAAUCAAAUCAGUUCUGACCACACAUGCAUAUGCUGGUCGGAGGAGUCACUGCAUUGGAGCUGUCCAAUCGGUGAGCAGCAGCUCUUGAUCAUUGUCACGAAGCCACACCCACUGGCAUUAGAAGUUCAGAACGAGACAGUGGUAUAGAAAUAAUAACUCAAAUUGAAUUUGUGCUUUAAGCAGGUAAUGCAUCUUAAAGCUACAGUCCUUAUUAACUGAAACAAUCACAAAUGAACACCUGCUCUCUGUUUUGUUUGGUAAUAAAAUGUGACCACUAUCAAAUUCAUACACAGAGCUAUGGAUGCCAGGACUGACCAUCCAUGAUAUCAGAAUUAUAGUUUUAAUCAUGUUUUAAAGCUGUACAGUGUUUGUUUGCAUUGUUUAGAAACAUCGGGGUAAAACAAGCUCAUAUUGUGGGUUCUGAUGGGGUACGACAGUUGAUCUAAACUCAUGAGGUAUUCAUAUGUUAUAUUCUUCUAGAAUCAAUGGGUAGAUAUAAUUAAUUUAUAAGUAAAAAAAUGGGUGUAGCAACUAAGGAUUCUAGCUUUAAGGCUGUAUCUAUGAGAGCUGGGAAACUGUUGAUUGGUUAAACCAAUGCCACAGCAGCUAUGCCUCAGGCUAUUAGCUAGCCAGCAGCUGUACCAUUAACAGAGCCAAACUGAGAGGCAAGGCAGCCAGAGAGAAGGAAGUUGGUCGGGGAGCACUUCCUGAUGUGGUUGAUGACCCU
ensembl:lncRNA